GACGGAGGAUGCAAGCGUUAUCCGGAAUGAUUGGGCGUAAAGCGUCCGCAGGUGGCAGUUCAAGUCUGCUGGCAAAGACCGGGGCUUAACUUCGGAAAGGCAGUGAAACUGAACAGCUAGAGUAUGGUAGGGGCAGAGGGAAUUCCUGGUGUAGCGGUGAAAUGCGUAGAGAUCAGGAAGAACAUCGGUGGCGAAGGCGCUCUGCUGGACCAUAACUGACACUCAGGGACGAAAGCUAGGGGAGCGAAUGGG
rnacentral:rRNA from 1 species